UUAUUGCUCUUUCUUAAUCUGAUUUCUCAGAUACAGUGGAAAAUUCUCAUGGUCAUUUGACAAUCAUCCUGAGAACACAAAUCAAAUGCAACUUCAACCUAAAAACAUGCAAUUCUACUAACGCACUUUCAAUACUAAUAUUCCAGUUCUUUAACCUGGUUAUUCCACUUACUGUCUAUGACACGCAUAAGUAAUUGGGAUUGGAGGGUUGGCCAGUGAACCGUUCUGUGUAUGAUCAGCAACCCAUUGAUUUGCAGCCUGAGAGUAGUGCACACCAUCCCAGCUUAUAAAGAUUGAAGGGUCUUUGCAAGAGGCACCAUAGACUUCAGUAUUGUUAACAGUUCCCUUAUUCCCACACCAUAUGUGGUCAAAAUUCACAUGAUAACCACAGCAAACCUUCAGUGGAUCAGCUAAUCCUAGAUUCUUUGCAUUGCUUAUAAGUCCAUACUUAGCAGAAUAUACAUCCACAUAUGCAAUUGCAGCUUCUGGAAGCUCUGCCCUUAGUUUAACAAUUCUAUCCUGAAGCUUGCUGUUAAACUCUACGGCCAUCUCAUUUUGUGCCUUGACGCAGCCAUGCUCAUCAAGAUAACCAGAAGGCGGAUUGGAGACAUAGAAAAGAUUCACUGGCAAGCAACCAAUAGGGCCUGUGUUAUGUAUCCAAAAUGCCCUCCCUCCUUGUUGAUAUAUAUUUUGGACUGCUGAGGCCAAUUGGUUAACGAUGUCUGGCAAUGCUGCUCUAAGCUGAUCAAAGCUCAUCUUUCUAAACCCAACAGAAAGAUCAUUUUGACCAAUAUCAAAAGUGUAAAGAGCCUUAGCAAAUUCCUCUGGUCUGGGGAGUUUUUCUGCCUCAGGGGUAUUCUUCACUUCAUGGUAGAGAUCUCCAGUCCGUGACUUAAAUUGGUUAAAUUGCACAAUCUGCAUAUCAAGAGAGAAAGGACUAAUCCCAUACUCAAAUAUGGUCUCAUUCUGCCUCCUAAUGGUUGAUCCUCCCGUGGCAAAAUUGGCUCCAUGCCUAUAAUUUGUCCCAAUGGAGUUCAGGUAGGCACUCAAGUAUGGCAAUUUCAACCUCUCAGCUAUGAAGUCUAUGAUGAGGCGGCCGUCAGAAUCUCUACCAGCUGUUUUGUGAAAGAAAGCCUCACCAUA
rnacentral:misc_RNA from 1 species